GACAUUUUUUAUAGAGGGUUAAAUUUACACAGUUUGUGCUCUUAUUCUACAUUUGACGAUAUAAUUUAUUUAUUGUUAUAUAAAAGACUACCAACAAGAAAAGAAAUAAAUGAUAAAAGUUGUUACAUAGAACACAAAUUUAAAAAUGCAGACUUAACAAAAAUAAUAAAAAUAAUAAAUAUAUUAGAAGGGGAUAAUUUUUUAGAGCUAAUAAGAAUUUGUAUAUUACAAUUUUCAUUGAAAGAACAAAUAUAUAAUAGGGAUAAUAAUUUAAAUUAUUAUGAUAUUAUGACAUAUUCUUUAAAAUUAUUAAUGCUUUUUUAUUAUAAAAAAAUAAAAUGCUCCGAUGAUAUUAAACAUAUCAAAUAUGAUGAUUUAUGUUCUCAUAUUAUUACAUACUAUGCAAAUAAAAAGUUUUAUAAAUGUAGUGAAAAUAAUGGCAAGCAAAAUAGCAAGCAAAAUGACGAGAAAAAAAAACUUUUAAACGUUCUUUUUAUCUUAUUAUGUGAAAAUGAUAUAAACGAAAACACCUUUUUAAUAAGAAUGAUAUCAAAUGCGAAUAGUAGUAACUAUUUUAAUACAUGCCUAUCUGCUGUAAACUUUUUUAUUGAUAGUUUGAAAAAAAUAGAUUUUUACACAGCCUUAACAUCUUUUUUAAAUUUUUAUACACUUUUAAAAGAAAGAGAAGCACAAAAAAACAAAAAAAAAAUCGGAACUGAAGCCAAAACUGUAAACGAAAACGCAAAUCAAACCCAAAUUGAUAUAAUGAACAUUUACAAUAUUGAAUUAUUUUUUUACAAUAAUAAUUUCUAUGCAAAAAAAAAUAAAAUAUUAAAAAAAUAUUUAACUACUUUUUGUAAUGACACAUCGCAAUAUAAUAUAAACCUAAUUAAUAGUUUUAAACAAAUUGAAGAAACAAUUUUGAAACAAAAAAAUAAAUACCCAUCAUGUUAUUUUUAUGCACUUUUAAUUUUCCACGUGUUAAACAUACCAUUAGAAUUAUUACCACCUUUUUAUUUCUUAACAAGGUUAGCAAGUUUUACUG
rnacentral:lncRNA from 1 species